GGCGAGCGUUAUUCGGAAUUAUUGGGCGUAAAGGGCGCGUAGGCGGCUCGAUAAGUCAAAGGUGAAAUCCCUCGGCUCAACUGAGGAACUGCCUUUGAAACUGUCGAGCUUGAGUCCGGGAGGGGGUAGCGGAAUUCCCAGUGUAGCGGUGAAAUGCGUAGAUAUUGGGAGGAACACCAGUGGCGAAGGCGGCUACCUGGACCGGAACUGACGCUGAGGCGGCG
rnacentral:rRNA from 1 species